rnacentral:rRNA from 1 species
UGGGGAAUAUUGCACAAUGGGGGAAACCCUGAUGCAGCGACGCCGCGUGAGUGAAGAAGUAUUUCGGUAUGUAAAGCUCUAUCAGCAGGGAAGAUAAUGACGGUACCUGACUAAGAAGCCCCGGCUAACUACGUGCCAGCAGCCGCGGUAAUACGUAGGGGGCAAGCGUUAUCCGGAUUUACUGGGUGUAAAGGGUGCGCAGGUGGCAGGGCAAGUCAGAUGUGAAAGCCCGGGGCUCAACCCCGGUAUUGCAUUUGAAACUGUCCGGCUAGAGUGCAGGAGAGGUAAGCGGAAUUCCUAGUG